rnacentral:rRNA from 1 species
UACAGAGGUCCCAAGCGUUGUUCGGAUUCACUGGGCGUAAAGGGUGCGUAGGCGGUCGGGUAAGUCUGACGUGAAAUCUUCAAGCUCAACUUGGAAACUGCGUCCGAUACUAUUCGGCUAGAGGAAUGGAGGGGAGACUGGAAUACUUGGUGUAGCAGUGAAAUGCGUAGAUAUCAAGUGGAACACCAGUGGCGAAGGCGGGUCUCUGGACAGUUCCUGACACUGAGGCACGAAGGCCAGGGGAGCAAACGGG